rnacentral:rRNA from 1 species
AGAUUGAACGCUGGCGGCAUGCCUUACACAUGCAAGUCGAACGGCAGCACGGGAGCAAUCCUGGUGGCGAGUGGCGAACGGGUGAGUAAUACAUCGGAACGUGCCCAGUUGUGGGGGGAUAGCCCGGCGAAAGCCGGAUUAAUACCGCAUACGACCUACGGGUGAAAGCGGGGGAUCGCAAGACCUCGCGCUAUUGGAGCGGCCGAUGUCGGAUUAGCUUGUUGGUAGGGUAAAAGCCUACCAAGGCUACGAUCCGUAGCUGGUCUGAGAGGACGACCAGCCACACUGGGACUGAGACACGGCCCAGACUCCUACGGGAGGCAGCAGUGGGAAUUUUGGACAAGUGGGCGAAAGCCUGAUCCAGCCAUGCCGCGUGCGGGAAGAGGCCGUUCGGGUGUAACCGUCUUUGCGAGGAAGAACGGUUCGAGCUAAUAUCUCGGACUAAGUGACGGUACC